UAUUACUCUCAUUUGCUAAUAAAAAGCUGAUUGGCCGAUAGCUGGGCAGGAAGAGAUUGAGCACAAGAGCCAGAGCAGGAGAAUUCUGGGAAGAGGAAGGGCGGAGUCAGAGAGCUGCCGGCAGCCGCAGAGAGGCAAGAUGAGAAUGCAGUACUGAGAAAAGGUACCGAGCCACACGGCUGAGCAUAGUAACAAGCCUGAGAUACUGACCAAGCAUUUACAAUUAAUUGACAGAUACACUGUCUCCAGGAUACGUCAGGAACCUGACCUCAGUCCUGACAAUACUGAGCUGUCUGCAGAACACCAUGGCCGACUGUACAGAAAAAGCUGUGGAGCGUUUUCCCUGAGUGAGGAGGGACUGAAAAGGCUUCUGACCAUCUGGAACUGGCUGAAAACAGAGGGAAGCCUCAAAACUGGUACAGAUCUGUAUGAAAAGCAAAGGACAUUCCUAAGACAAUGAAAAAGACUUCGCAUUGGACCGUCUGCUUCCCGACAGUCAUUACAUCUCGUUUUGGGCCCUCACACGCGAAGGGAAAGAGUACCUGGAUCCAGUGGACUCCUAAGUCUGCACCCCCACGGCAAGGAUAGAAGCCGAAGAACCCUCCUCUGGCCAACCUCACAUCCCAUGCAUCCACCCACGUCGCUGGGAAGGUGGCUGGUGCCCGCACCGAGCCCACAACAAGCUUCCACGACCCCAACUAACUGCUUCUCCGGGGCCCUUCCUGUUCCUCUGCGCGGGGCAGCUCUGCGCGGGGAGGCACGGCUCCCUCUCGGGUUCCUGCAGCCCGAGCGGCGGCCUUGAAGAUGCCCACGCCACUGCGGGGUCCGCCACGCAGGGGACCCCGCGCCCGGCCCGGC